rnacentral:rRNA from 1 species
UACAGAGGGUGCAAGCGUUAAUCGGAAUUACUGGGCGUAAAGGGCGCGUAGGUGGAUACGUAAGUCAUAUGUGAAAGCCCUGGGCUCAACCUGGGAAUGGCCUAUGAGACUGCGUAUCUGGAGUAGAGUAGAGGGAAGUGGAAUUUCCGGUGUAGCGGUGAAAUGCGUAGAUAUCGGAAGGAACACCAGUGGCGAAGGCGGCUUCCUGGACUCAUACUGACACUGAGGCGCGAAAGCGUGGGGAGCAAACAGG